rnacentral:rRNA from 1 species
AUUGAACGCUGGCGGCAGGCCUAACACAUGCACGUCGAACGAGUGGCGUACGGGUGAGUAAUGUCUGGGAAACUGCCUGAUGGAGGGGGAUAACUACUGGAAACGGUAGCUAAUACCGCAUACCAUCAAAUGUACCCCAAUAGGAUUCGCUUUUUGGUGGGGGAACGGCUGACCAAGGCGACGAUCCCUAGCUGGUCUGAGAGGAUGACCAGUCACACUGGAAUGGGGACACGGUCCAGACUACUGAGGGAGGCAGCAGUGGGGAAUUUGUCACGAUGGGCGCAAGCCUGAUGCAGCCAAGCCGAGUGUAUGAAGAAGGCCUUCGGGUUGUAAAGUACUUUCAGCGGGGAGGCGUUACCCGCAGAAGAAGCACCGGCUAACUCCGUGCCAGCAGCCGCGGUAAUAC